AACUAAGUGCCUGAAAAAGGGUUAUUUUGAUAGAAUAAAUUAUGUAACAUUUACCUUAGUUA
rnacentral:tRNA from 1 species